rnacentral:rRNA from 1 species
GACGAACCGAGCGAACGUUAUUCGGAAUCACUGGGCUUAAAGCGCGUGUAGGCGGGCGGGAACGUCGGUCGUUGAAAGCCCCCGGCUCAACCGGGGAACGGGCGCCGAAACGACCCGCCUCGAGGGACGUAGGGGGACCUGGAACUUCCGGUGGAGCGGUGAAAUGCGUUGAGAUCGGAAGGAACGCCCGUGGCGAAAGCGAGGUCCUGGACGUCUUCUGACGCUGAGACGCGAAAGCUAGGGGAGCGAACGGG